rnacentral:rRNA from 1 species
AAUUUCCUGGAAACAGGAAAGUGCCUCAUUAGAGGAACCUGGUGACAGGUGCUGCAUGGCUGUCGUCAGCUCGUGUCGUGAGAUGUUGGGUUAAGUCCCGCAACGAGCGCAACCCUUGCCUUUAGUUGCCAUCAUUUAGUUGGGCACUCUAGAGGGACUGCCGGUGUCAAGCCGGAGGAAGGUGGGGAUGACGUCAAGUCCUCAUGGCCUUUAUGACCAGGGCUACACACGUACUACAAUGGCAUGUACAAAGGGCAGCCACAGGGCGACCUGGAGCGAAUCCCUAAAACAUGUCUCAGUCCGGAUUGGAGUCUGCAACUCGACUCCAUGAAGUUGGAAUCGCUAGUAAUCGUAGAUCAGCAUGCUACGGUGAAUACGUUCCCGGGCCUUGUACACACCGCCCGUCACACCACGGGAGUUGGUUGUACCAGAAGUAGUUGAGCGAACCUUCGGGACGCAGGCUACCAAGGUAUGGUCGGUAACUGGGGUGAAGUCGUAACAAGGUA